rnacentral:rRNA from 1 species
UGGGGAAUUUUGGACAAUGGGCGAAAGCCUGAUCCAGCAAUGCCGCGUGUGUGAAGAAGGCCUUCGGGUUGUAAAGCACUUUUGUCCGGAAAGAAAUCCUUGGCUCUAAUACAGUCGGGGGAUGACGGUACCGGAAGAAUAAGCACCGGCUAACUACGUGCCAGCAGCCGCGGUAAUACGUAGGGUGCAAGCGUUAAUCGGAAUUACUGGGCGUAAAGCGUGCGCAGGCGGUUUGCUAAGACCGAUGUGAAAUCCCCGGGCUCAACCUGGGAACUGCAUUGGUGACUGGCAGGCUAGAGUAUGGCAGAGGGGGGUAGAAUUCCACGNGUAGCAGUGAAAUGCGUAGAGAUGUGGAGGAAUACCGAUGGCGAAGGCAGCCCCCUGGCAAGUACUGACGCUCAUGCACGAAAGCGUGGGGAGCAAACGGAUUAAUACCCUGGUAGUCCACGCCCUAAAANGAUGUCAACUAGUUUGUUGGGGGAUUCAUUUUCCUUAGUAACGUAGCUAACGCGUGAAGUUGACCGCCUGGGGAGUACGGUCGCAAGAUUAAAAC